rnacentral:rRNA from 1 species
UACAGGGGGUGCAAACGUUGCUCGGAAUCAUUGGGCGUAAAGCGCACGUAGGCGGUCUGUUAUGUCGGAUGUGAAAGCCCUUGGCUUAACCGAGGAAGUGCAUCCGAAACUGGCAGGCUAGAGUACUAAAGAGGGUCGCGGAAUUCCCGGUGUAGAGGUGAAAUGCGUAGAUAUCUGGAGGAAUACCGGUGGCGAAGGCGGCAUCCUGGACCGAUAUUGACACUGAGGAGCGAAAGCCAGGGGAGCAAACGGG